rnacentral:lncRNA from 12 species
GUACUUUCUGUCUCCCCACCUGCCACGUCACCCUCAAGGGUAAUCACAGGAUCUCAGUGUUAGCCUUAGAUUUCAGCAAGAGAUCGUCUCAUCCGACUUUCUCAUUUUCCAGAUGAGCAAAUGGAGGCCUAAGAACAGUUGGAGAUUGGACAGGUCCGCAGAGUGACUUGUCUUAUCUGGAAAUAGGGCUUGAAGACAUGAAUCCAGCAUUCUAGAGGGCAUGGGCAGUUGGGCCAUGCUGUUUCUGCUCAAGUCAUUAGAGUUAUCAGAAGUCCCAGUGGGCAUCCCUCUGCCUCUUCACUGCUGCUAGGCUGAGCAGAGUCAGAAACUCUUCCUUGGCCUCUCCAGCCACCUGGCACUGAAACCCUCCCACCCCCUCGAAAUCUCAUCAGCUUACAGAGCUAGCAGCUGCACUCAGCAGAACGAACGAGCCAAAUCCCGACCAAGCAUAUCCCGGGAGCCUCAUUUUAUUUAACCAU